AGGUGAAUGGUUUAAUUGGGAGAACGCAGAGGUCCAGAGUAGAAUCUGAGGUGGCAGAUCGAAACUGCCUUCACCUA